GAUUUCAUUUAAUCGAAAUUUACACAUUCCGAAUGUGUUAAAUCGAGGGGGAGAAGUCAUCGAUCUCUAAACUGUUUUACUGGAUGUUGAUUUGAUCUUGAUAUUGGUAAGUAUACAGUCAACUACGACGAUUUUUAAUCAUAAUUUCGUAGAAAUGUCAAGUAGAACGAAUAAGAUACAAUGAACGUGUUUGGAAUUCGUUAUUUUUGUGUUCUAUGAGAUUCUACACUAUAAUUUAUUAGCACCGCGAACGCACAAUAUCAAACUGCGUAGUAAUUUGAUGACGGAACACGUUCGGGAUAUUAACCACGAACAAAGUUGUAGUUAUUUCGCGAUAAAAAAGAAGAGCUGUCAUAAUAUAGGUUAAGUAUGAUAUAAGAAGCGUUGUGAUUAUUUUAAUUUUUCAUUAAAUUAUGAAUAUCUUUUAAUAAGAAAAGAACAACAUAGUUUAAUUAAAAAUAAAUAAGUAAAUAAAGGAGAAAAAUAUAGUGAAAUUCUUAAAGAUUUACGAAACAUGAGGUUAGGGGUUUUAGAAUUGGGAAACGAGUUUUGAAACCAAUUAAUAGUGGAGAUAAAACAGGGAAAAACGAGUUGAAGACACAAAUUAUUGUAGAAAAAAUUUAUAACUAUUUUACUAUAGUCUGUUUGGAAAGAAGAUAAGAUAAUAAAUUGUUAAUUUGUCACGACAACUGUUAUGAAAACUCGAUUUUAAUAAAAUUGCUUUAAAAGUUAUUUUUUGAUAAAAUGGAAAAUCUAAUUUCAACAUAUUUGGUGGUUUUAUAUCUUUUAAGAGCUUUCACUCCCUCUAAACUUUCUUCCCCAUGACUUAGAUUGAAUUUUCAUCUCAUUAUGGUCUGUUUGGAAAGAAAAUUGAUCGAUACAUCAACCGAUUCUUUUGAUUAGAAUCAUAUCUGUUAAAAAUAAAAAGUAUCGUCAUAGAUAAAAAACAAAGAAACAUGAUUAUCAAUGGUGCUAACCAUGGAAAAACGACACUCCAUUCACUUAUAGAACCAGAAGACGGUUGAAGACUAAAAAGAAAGUGGCAAUCAGAUCUACAAAAGGGGUAAAAAGGACUUGUUGCUGAAGAAUACCUCACUACAACUGUUUUUUUUUUUGGAUAAAAAGUUUGUUGUUAUUCAAAAUUUUUAUAUUAUUGUCCAUUGAAAGAAAUUUUGAUUUCACUAUAGUAAGUUUGGGAAGUUAAUUAAAUAAAAAGUGUGGAAUUACUUUUAGUUUUAAGUAAAUUGAACUAAAUUUUUUAUUUUUUCACUAGGAUUUGGACAUUUCAACCCUAAUAAGACUCCAAUGUUUUUUUUUACUAAUAAAAUCGAAAUUUUAAUAAAAGACAUCAAAGAAUGUUGAUAUAAGAA